rnacentral:lncRNA from 1 species
AGGUUGGACUGGUUGCUGAUGGACGACUUCUAGUGGCGGCGGCAGCAGCGUCUUCAGACACCGCGCUGGGACUCGCUCGCUCGGCGAGGGUCUUUACUUCCAGGCGCCAGGAGGGCCUGGGAGUCCGAGUGGAGUCUCCUCGCGUCCAAGGCCGCCCGCUCCCGUCUGGGUCCGGGUGUGGGCUGUUGGCUGGGUGAGGAGAGGAGCCAGGACGAAACCCGGAGGCCCUGGGUCACUCCGCGGGUGAUAUCCACGCCGCCUGACCCUGGCCGCGGGGGUGCGGACUCCUCUGCUCCGCAGCCCCCGACCCUCUCCCCCGGUCGCAGCAGCCGCGGCACUGCGGUGCGCCCCUUCUCGCCUCUUUUUCUAAAGUGCCUGCAGAUACAAAAGCGGUUUCGUAAUGCCUUCCGUCUGCGAGAGCCGGAGGACCUUGGCUGACCUUUCGGAAACUGAUUGCAACUGCCUGUUAACAGCCCGUACUGACCGCACUGAGCGGACCGGAGGACAAUCAUUUAAGUGACAGACGGCGAGGUGGCCCCGGCUCAGUCGAGCGGCCUGGUUA